rnacentral:tRNA from 1 species
AAGAUGGCAGACUUAAUGCGUAGAUUUUAAGCGUCUACAAUGAUAAUAUCUCUU